AUCCAGGAAGCAUCUUAAAGUCUUGGGGAGACAAUUGAAAGGUCUGAUACCCCUUCCUCUCCUCCACCCCUGGAGUGUGUCUAACUGUGACCUUCUCCUCACUUACCCCCGCACAGCGUUCUUCUCUCACAAGGUGGAACACAAGAGCAAGACCCACAACGGCAGGAGCUUCCAGAGGACAAGGACGCUGCCAAGUGUACCUGUGUACCAAGUGGAUGCGUGGUGCCUGAAGAGACCAGAAGAGGGAGCUGAAUCCCCUGGAACUGGAGUUACAGAUGGGUAUGCAGGAGGUUGUGUUUGGACGGCCAAUGAAGAAAAAAGAGCAGAGGAAACAGAGGAGGAUGGAGAUGAGCAGGAUGU